UGGAAACAAAGAGUGUUUAUACUUCAGUGUUGAAAAAUAUCCAUUAAGCAUUUGCACACUGGCUCAUGCACUUUGGGAGGCUGAAGCAGGACUCAACUUACUUGAGUUCAGGAGUUCCAGAACAGCUCAAACAGCUCUUUAAUAGAGAACCCCAUCUCCGCUAAAAAUACACAAAUGCUAAAAAAACAUACAAAAAUUAGCCUGGUAUGGUGGUGGACACCUGCAAUCCCAGCUACUUGGGAGACUGAGGCAGGAGGAUUGCUUGAGUCCAGAAGGAGUUAGCAGUGAGCUGAGCUCAUGCCACUGCAUUCCUCAUGCCUUGCAUUCCUUCUCGUGAACGAUCCAAGAACCCCGUGAAAUUUUGAUUUUUUAUAAAGAAAAAGAAAUUCAAAAAUGUAUAUCCAUUCAACCUUUCAGCAAACGACCUUUCAGAGAUGGUUAUGAUACACCCAACUCAGUUCUACCACCUAUGCUAUAAUCUUACCCUCCAUAUAUGGGGAGGAUGGGUGAGAAAGGACAGUAUUUUUUAGGAAGGUACCCUUGCCAAACUGCACAAGAAGGAGGCCGGCAGAGUUCCCAGCCGUGUGCACCAUCAGAAAGCCAGCUUUAGGGCUCUGGCCACAUAAUUUUCAUUCAUAAUCUAAAUAUUUCCUGAGAAAGAUAUUGUUCCUUCUUUGUACAGGGGAACAUAGAAGACAGACAGAGGAGAAAGAGCAAACCACAGCAUCUCCAGUCUCAGAUGGAAACCUGGAAGCUAUUGCGGCAGGGAGAGGGAGGUUAAAUUCAAUAGGAUGGUGUAUUCCCUUCCUAGGCUGUUCUAACAAAGUAUUGCAAUAUAAGUGGCUGAAAGCAACACUUAUAUCCUCUGACCAUCCUGGAGGCCAGAAGUCUGAAUUGAAGACAUUGGUAGGGUUAGUUCCUUCUGGAAGUUGAAUGGGAAAAUGUGUUUUGUGCCUGUCUCCUAGCUCUUGGUGACUGCUGGCAGUCCUUGGGGUUCUUUGACUCAUAGAUGGAUCACUCCAAUCUGUGACCCCAGCUUCCCAUGACCAUCUUCCCUCUGUGUGUCUUAUCUAAAACUGCUUCUCUUUAUAAGACUGUUAACCACUGGAUUAGGGGUCUACCAUCUCUAAUGUGACCCCAUCUUAGCUUGACUGCAUCGGUCAGACCUACUUCUAAAUAAAUCCACAUUCAUAAAUCGAGGGAUUUUGGAGUUGAAUAUAUUCCUCCUUCAACACACAAACUUAAAAGUGUACAUUGAGUUUAGACUAAGGUUUAUUGUAUAUGAGUUUUGCCAGAAAGCAACGUCUUUUUUUUUCUUUUCUAUUUGUUGUUGUUGUUGUUGUUUUGUUUUUGAGACAGGGUCUUACUCUGUCACCCAGGCUGGAGGGCAGUGGCAUGAUAUUGGCUCACUGCAACCUCCACCUCCUGAGUUCAAGUGAUUUCCCUGCCUCAGCUGGCCAAGUAGCUCAGAUUACAGGUACCAUGCCUGGCUAAUUUUUGUGUUUUUUAGCAGAGAUGGUGUUUCCCCAUGUUGGCCAAGCUGGUCUUCAACUCCUGACCCCCUUGCUCCACCUGCCUUGGACUCCUGAAGUGCUGGGAGUACAGCUUAGAGGCAGAAGAUAAAGAGAAUCACGUUUCCUGACUGAUAUGGUUUGGCUGUGUGUAUAAUAUAUAAUAUCUAUAUCUAUAUAUAAUAUAG
rnacentral:lncRNA from 1 species